AAGAUCGUACUUUCACGGAUCGUUUCUGGUGUGCGUAUCUUGGCCCUGCGGAGGUAACCUUCACAAUUCAUGUCAGUCCGAUGAUGACAGGUUGAGUCUUUCUUCAGCAAUACAGUGGAAGAAGAUAUACUUUUUCUCUGCCGUCGAUGAUUGAUUGGUUUCUGGGAACAUUGGAAGUGCGCUUUCUGAGGACU